rnacentral:lncRNA from 1 species
AAUGGAUUCUCCCUCAGAGCCUCCUCAGGGAACCAACCCUGCCAACACUUUCAUUUCGGACUUCUGGCUUCCAGAACUGAGAUGACUCAUCCCUUUGAUCCCCAACCAUCGACACUGUCUGCUCCUGACAUCCAACCAUUGACAUCGUCAUGGCCUGAUGAUCCUCCCUCUAAUGUAUCAUCAGAAGGUUAAUAGUAGCCUAAUGCUUAUAUCAUUCACCUCACUCCAUCUCAUCAAGUAGGCAUUUUAUCAUCUCACAUCAUCACAAGAAGAAGGAGGUCAUGCACAGGGGAGACUAGGAGCAAGUACUAGAAGGACCCAGUGGGGAUGCUCUUACUGCUGUCUUGGCAGUACUUGUGCUGCAAAUAAACAAACUUCAGUCCUGAAGACUCUCCAGUGUGUAACUUUGAAGGCAUGAAAUUCACACACACAGAAUGUUAUUUUCCAGAAGUGCAGUUUUGAUAUGUGGUCACUCCAUUUUGUACAACGCUUCAAUGUCUCUUGCUGGCUACUCAGAAUCCUGGUGCUUUGCUAGCAAGCUGACCUUGGCACUGGAUCUCCUAUCCAAGAACUUGCAUCUACAGAUGGACUUGGUACCCAGCUUUGUGAUAGAAGCCAUGGAGAUAAAUCUAAUUACCUGGAGCUCAAAGGGACUUUGGAAAGGCCUAAAAUCUUCAUUUGUCUUUGAGGUCAUCGUUUGCUAAACUUCAUGGAUGUUAAUUAUUUUUUGGCAGGCAAGAAAUACCAAAGAAUUUGGGAUCCUCUUAAGAAGACAUUGCUUUAUAUUUCAUAAUAUCCCUUAAGUGACUUGUGCAUGACAGGUGCUCAGUAAAUUCUUUCCAAUAGAUUGAAAUAAAUUCUGAACAGUUUGAGUUUGAUAUUUAUAUUUGGCUUAUCAAAUCAUCAUCCCAGAGGCAAAAAUAACUAGAAGGGGGAUGAUCUGAAGUAAAGCUGGACCAAAUUAAUAUUAAAUUAAAUUAAAUUAAAAUGUUGGGAGGUUGACCAUUAUAGAAAAUCCUUUGUAAGUCUAUACUAGUAUCUCAAUAAAUAUUCUAUGGACUAAAAUGUUGAGCUUGUUACAAGAGAAUGAAUGAUACAAACAUUUUUUCAUGUGAAAACAUUCUGCCUAUGGCACCUGGAAGAAUUUAG